AGAGUUUGAUCCUGGCUCAGGACGAACGCUGGCGGCGUGCUUAACACAUGCAAGCCGAACGAUGAAGCGGUGCUUGCACCGUGGAUUAGUGGCGAACGGGUGAGUAAUACGUGAGUGUCCUACCUUUGACUCUGGGAUAAGCCUGGGAAACUGGGUCUAAUACCGGAUACGACCAAUCUCUGCAUGGGGUGUUGGUGGAAAGCGUUAUGGAGUGGUUUUAGAUGGGCUCACGGCCUAUCAGCUUGUUGGUGAGGUAAUGGCUUACCAAGGCGACGACGGGUAGCCGGCCUGAGAGGGUGACCGGCCACACUGGGACUGAGACACGGCCCAGACUCCUACGGGAGGCAGCAGUGGGGAAUAUUGCACAAUGGGCGCAAGCCUGAUGCAGCGACGCCGCGUGAGGGAUGACGGCCUUCGGGUUGUAAACCUCUGUUAGCAUCGAAGAAGCGAAAGUGACGGUAGGUGCAGAGAAAGCGCCGGCUAACUACGUGCCAGCAGCCGCGGUAAUACGUAGGGCGCGAGCGUUGUCCGGAAUUAUUGGGCGUAAAGAGCUUGUAGGCGGUUGGUCGCGUCUGCUGUGAAAGGCCGGGGCUUAACUCCGGUUUUGCAGUGGGUACGGGCUAACUAGAGUGCAGUAGGGGAGACUGGAAUUCCUGGUGUAGCGGUGGAAUGCACAGAUAUCAGGAGGAACACCGAUGGCGAAGGCAGGUCUCUGGGCUGUAACUGACGCUGAGAAGCGAAAGCAUGGGGAGCGAACAGGAUUAGAUACCCUGGUAGUCCAUGCCGUAAACGUUGGGCACUAGGUGUGGGGGACAUUCCACGUUUUCCGCGCCGUAGCUAACGCAUUAAGUGCCCCGCCUGGGAGUACGGCGCAAGGC
rnacentral:rRNA from 1 species